rnacentral:tRNA from 1 species
AGGGAUGUGGCUCAGUGAUAAGAGUGCUUGCCUAGCAUGCAUGAGGCCCUGGGUUAUAUCCCCAGCACUGCAA